rnacentral:rRNA from 1 species
UACCAGCACCCCGAGUGGUCGGGACGUUUUAUUGGGCCUAAAGCAUCCGUAGCCGGUUCUACAAGUCUUCCGUUAAAUCCAACUGCUUAACAGGUGGGCUGCGGAAGAUACUAUAGAGCUAGGAGGCGGGAGAGGCAAGCGGUACUCGAUGGGUAGGGGUAAAAUCCGUUGAUCCAUUGAAGACCACCAGUGGCGAAGGCGGCUUGCCAGAACGCGCUCGACGGUGAGGGAUGAAAGCUGGGGAGCAACCGG